rnacentral:rRNA from 1 species
UACGAAGGGGGCUAGCGUUGUUCGGAAUUACUGGGCGUAAAGGGCGCGCAGGCGGUUUUGUAAGCCAGAUGUGAAAGCCCCGGGCUCAACCUGGGAAUGGCAUUUGGGACUGCAAGGCUUGAGUGCGGCAGAGGAGACUGGAAUUCCUGGUGUAGCAGUGAAAUGCGUAGAUAUCAGGAGGAAUACCGAUGGCGAAGGCAGGUCUCUGGGCUGACACUGACGCUCAUGCACGAAAGCGUGGGGAGCAAACAGG